rnacentral:misc_RNA from 1 species
GAUCUUCGAGGAAGUAAUAAGCCCCUCUCCCGCAUUAGUGAAAAUGCAUUUUCAGCUGCUGACCCAUUGCGUAGUGUAGAAAUGGUAUCUUCACAACCUUUAACCUCAUCAUUGUCACCCAAGUAUGUCCUUGUUGAACUCCUUUUCUUCAACCGUGGCCCAAAUCCUGCAGACAAUGCUAAUUGUCGGAAUAUUUCAGGCCACGUUAGUGGAUUUAA